rnacentral:rRNA from 1 species
AUACGGAGGAUCCGAGCGUUAUCCGGAUUUAUUGGGUUUAAAGGGUGCGCAGGCGGGAGAUUAAGUCGGCGGGGAAAUUUUGCAGCCCAACUGUAAAAGUGCCUUCGAAACUGGUUUCCUUGGGUGUAGAUGAAGUAGGCGGAAUUUGUGGUGUAGCGGUGAAAUGCAUAGAUAUAACGAGGAACUCCGAUUGCGCAGGCAGCUUACUAAACUACUACUGACGCUCAGGCACGAAGGCGUGGGGAUCAAACAGGAUUAGAUACCCUGGUAGUCCACGCAGUAAACGAUGAUUACUAGCUGUUUGCGAUACAAUGUAAGCGGCUGAGCGAAAGCGUUAAGUAAUCCACCUGGGGAGUACGUUCGCAAGAAUGAAACUCAAAUGAAUUGGCGGGG